AAAGGAUGGCAGCGGUAUCCUUUUAUGGAGCCCAAGCGAAAAGAUAUAGCGAACAGCCUGACCUUUU
rnacentral:sRNA from 1 species